CUGUUUAGUAUAUAAUGGGUCAUCUACACUAAGAAACCUUGCAAGCUCGCAAAAGUCUGCCACCACUUCAGCUGACUUGGUGAUGAUGGUGAAAAUUGCAGUUCCUGAAAAUCCCCAUGUUGAUGACCUAGCAGUAAGAGUAUCUCAGCAGAAAAUAUACAUUCCUUAAUAUGUAUCUUCAUUCUCUAAGCUAGUGAGACAAUGAUUGGUUAUCUCCAUCCAGAAAUGAAAGAACUACAAUAACUGUGGAAGUUUUUAGGGAAGCAUGUACAGACCAAGGUUAUCUCAUCUGCCGGAACCAUCACUCAAGUCCCUUUUGAAGGAAAACUAACGUCCAGACAGGGACCUGGCUCUGCGUAUAGGUACUCGUACAUUUCUUCAUGACAAUCCUGACAUUCCAGAAGAGACCAUUAGAAAGUUUUUCAGUUGUGGCUCUUGCAAGAAGGUUUACUCAUGAUGUCCCUUGUGACCCGCUGGUAGAGAAGUACUCAGAUUACAAAAUCAGCCCAGAACCUGAUCUGCCAAAAUUCAGCAAUAGGGUUUACACCAUUGGAUACAUUCAGGCUCAAUAUGGAAGACAUCAGACUUAUAGAUGGGAACAAGAGAUUCAAGAAGCUUCAAGCCAUUGCCUUAGUCAUACUGUCUUUACCACUAAGCAGUGCCGAUUUAAAGAAAUGCUUCUCAACAGUGUUAGAUACAAUAAAUCGUUUCUAGUACGACGUAUCACUAAACAACACCGCAUGUACGGUUGAAUUGUUAGCAGAUGACGGCUAGUGAAAGUGUAGUAUGUGGACCAAAGUGCCAAUCAUGUGGCAUUUGUUGCGAGUGAACUCUUCUCCAUUCAGUUCAGUAGGCUGUAGUCAGAAGACAAAGAACGAUCACAAGUCUCGGAAGGAAGGCUUAACAGUCAGAGACUUUCGAUAUUCCCGGGAAAUGUGAAAUGGAGCCAGUCUUUGUGUAGAAUUCCAGAGACAUUGUUCCCAUGGAAAGGUGAAAUGGUUCCAUGCAUUUUGUAUGUCUCCUGCAAUUCUUCAAUA